rnacentral:misc_RNA from 1 species
GGACUUGGGUCAACAUAAGGCCCCUGAAGCUCGUAGUAAGCCCAAUUAUCUUUCAACCCAAACAUAAAUCCAUAUUUGGCCCAAUUUCAAAGAAAUAACUGAACAGAGUCUGGCCAUAAUAUGGACCAUCCAACAAAGAGUUUUUGGCUCACUCGACCUGUAAACACAAAAAUUCAAUCCAUUGGGGAGCUCAACUCACCCUCACAAUCCUCAAAACAGAUAAAUGAUCAAAUGGGAGCUCAGCUCUCUCAUUCAACCCAAUAAUCA